rnacentral:rRNA from 1 species
UACGGGGGGGGCAAGCGUUGUUCGGAAUUACUGGGCGUAAAGGGCUCGUAGGCGGCCAACUAAGUCAUACGUGAAAUCCCUCGGCUUAACCGGGGAACUGCGUCUGAUACUGGAUGGCUUGAGUUCGGGAGAGGUGAGUGGAACUGCGAGUGUAGAGGUGAAAUUCGUAGAUAUUCGCAAGAACACCAGUGGCGAAGGCGGCUCACUGGCCCGGAACUGACGCUGAGGUGCGAAAGCGUGGGGAGCAAACAGG